GACGGUACCACCAAAGGAAGGGUCGGCUAACUACGUGCCAGCAGCCGCGGUAAUACGUAGGACCCAAGCGUUAUCCGGAUUCACUGGGUGUAAAGGGUGUGUAGGCGGGCGUGCGCGUCUGGGGUGAAAGGUUCCGGCUCAACCGGAAAUAUGCCUUGGAUACGGCACGUCUUGGGUGCGGGAGAGGACGGUGGAAUUCCUGGUGUAGCGGUGAAAUGCGUAGAUAUCAGGAGGAACACCAGUGGCGAAGGCGGCCGUCUGGCCCGCAACCGACGCUGAAACACGAAAGCGUGGGGAUCAAACAGGAUUAGAUACCCUGGUAGUCAAGGGCG
rnacentral:rRNA from 1 species